rnacentral:rRNA from 1 species
GGAUUGAACGCUGGCGGCAUGCCUAACACAUGCAAGUCGAACGGGAGUAGCAAUACUCUAGUGGCGGACGGGUGAGGAAUACGUAGGAAUUUGCCCUUAAGUGGGGGAUAACCCGGGGAAACCCGGAUUAAUACCGCAUGACCUCGAAAGAGCAAAGUGGGGGAUCGCAAGACCUCACGCUUUUGGAGAAGCCUACGUCGGAUUAGCUAGUUGGUGAGGUAAUGGCUCACCAAGGCGACGAUCCGUAAACUGGUCUGAGAGGAUGAUCAGUCACACCGGAACUGAGACACGGUCCGGACUCCGUACGGGAGGCAG